rnacentral:ncRNA from 1 species
AAAGGGCAAAACCGUUGAAAGACGGUGGCGCAAAGCUAUAGGGCCUUCAAGUUAAGGCAGCCAGCUGC